GGUUGUUGCUGGUUCUCUUGGGAGCAUGUGCACACCUUGUCAUCUUUAUAUCUCCACCUGUGCACCCUUUGUAGACCUUCUCAGGUCUAUGUUGCUUCUUCUUUUACCCCGAUGUAUGUUAAUAGAAUGUUGUGACUAUAAAAUCUAUACUACUUUCAACAACGGAUCUCUUGGCUCUCGCAUCGAUGAACAACGCAACGAAAUGCGAUAAGUAAUGUGAAUUGAAUAAUUCGAUGAAUCAUCUAAUCUUUGAACGCACCUUGCCCUCCUUGGUAUUCCGAGGAGCAUGCCUGUUUGAGUGUCAUUAAUAUAUAUCAACCUCUCUCUUGUUGAGUGGUUUGGAUGUGGGGGGUUUUGCUGGCCUGUUCACCUCCUCUGAAAUACAUUAACAAAACAACCUGUUCAUUGGUGUGAUAACUAUCUACGCUAUUGAAUGGGAGGGGCAGUUCAUCUUUCUAACAUUCCUUGGGACAACUUAUCAUUUAUGUGACCUCAAAUCAGGUAAGACUACCCGCUGAACUUAAUCAUAUCAAUAAGCAGAAGAAAAGAAACUAACAAGGAUUCCCCUAUUAACUGCGAGUGAAGCGGGAAAAGCUCAAAUUUAAAAUCUGGCGCUCUUCUGGCUGUCCGAGUUGUAAUCAAGAGAAGUGUUAUCCGCGCUGGACG
rnacentral:rRNA from 1 species